rnacentral:lncRNA from 1 species
CCUUGGGCAUGAUCCGCCGCAGCCUCGCCUUCCCUCCGCGCGCCCGGAACAAAGCUGCGGGCGGCCGAGCCGAGGAGGGGACGGCAAGGGGACUCCGCAGCGGCGCCCCUCGGCCCCUGCCUGCUGGUGAGCAGCCCAGGGACUGCAGGGGAUGGGGGCGGGCAGCGUAAAAAGUUCUGAUCGGGAGAAGCUCCGGCGAUCCCCUGGGCGUCCUCCCGAGCAGGCGCAGCCUCGGGCGGCGGCGCGCCCGGCCAGACCGCCUCCCGCCCCCUCCCUGCCCCGCAAGAAGCUGCUGCUCAGAACCCGCCGCGUCCGCAGCACUCAGCCGGGUUUCGGGCGACACUGCCCUCGGGCCGGAAACUAAACACCAAGUGCCCUCCGCUGCGGUGGGACUCCUGGGCUUUCUUUGUGCAGAGUGGCGGGACCCAGUCGCUUGGCGUUCUUGGGGGAGGGGGUCUAUCAGGAGGAGAUGGUAGGCGACGGGAUAAAUUGAAUCACCACGAUGCGGCCGGCCAGCGCAGGAAACCUCCAGAUGCCAGGGUAGGCUGCCCUGAGUCCCGCCUGGGUCUCUCUCUCAGCGACUCUACCCUUCCUGGUCUGCAAGAGAAGAAAUAUUCUUCUUCUCUGGAUCGGGUCUUUUACCAAAAAAAAAAAAAAAAUUCUCUGUCCUCUGGUCACCAGCAGGUCCUUUGCUCCUUCUGGCCAGCGCGGAGCGUUCAGAGGCGGGCUCCCAGUCGGUGCACGGUCUCGGCCGACCUUUCCCCGCGAGCUCCCGGGUCGUCUGCCUCUUGCUUCGCCAUUCAGGCGGCCCCUCGGGCCGACAGUGCGGUCACCCAGACGGCGUUAGCGGGGCUUAGGGGCUACUGGGAGGCAGCCCGCGGGCUCGAAAGGCUGGCUGCGCUGAGGAGGGUGCACCCGGCUGGGCGCACAGCGCGGGACGCGCGGGGCUCGACGCACGGCGCCUUCAACACCAUGGACAGGUCGCGCGAUCGCGGCGCCCGGCCCGCCCAGCAGCCAGCCCCCAGGGCGUCAUGCCGCCCCCACCACUGCCUUCUUCUUCCCGAAGUGUCCACCCGGCCACCUUCAAACCCGCCUCUCCCGCGACGCCUCCGCCUCACUUCAUUGGGCUCCCGUGUAGCCCCGGGAACGUGCUGCCCGGGUGCUGCAGGUACCCAGAAAAACAACGGCUCCGGCCCUUCGACGCAAUCCGCCCCCUUCUCCCGCCACCUGAGCACCGGCACUCCAGCACUCCGUCUGCUCGGUCCAGCUAGGGUCAGCCGCUCUCAGACUGCACCAUUUUCUUCGCAGCCCACCCAGGGGUUGAGAUGCCGGCUCACUCGGCAGCGCGCAGAGAGUCGUGUCCGGCCUUGGCGUUCUACGAUCCGGCUCCAAGAGCGGUGGUCGCCGAGGUGAAUGGGGCGAGGGUGGGGGAGGGAGGCUGGGACUCUCAGCUCCCCGUCCCUGCCUCCUCCUCUAGCCGCGGCGGCUCCGGGACCUCGAGGUCUCGGCCGGUGCCAGGGAGCGAGAGCCCAGGCUGCGCCGGGGAGGCUCGGGAAAUCGCAUCGCCCGGCUGCGGGGCGCUGGAGGAAGCCGCGGCUUUGCUCUCUUGCUCCGGCGCCGGGCGCUGCAGCCUUGGCUGAAACCC